GAUGAACGCUAGCGGGAGGCCUAACACAUGCAAGCCGAGCGGUAUUUCUUCUUCGGAAGAGAGAGAGCGGCGCACGGGUGCGUAACACGUGUGCAACCUACCUUUAUCUGGGGGAUAGCCUUUCGAAAGGAAGAUUAACACCCCAUAAUAUAUUGAAUGGCAUCAUUUGAUAUUGAAAACUCCGGUGGAUAAAGAUGGGCACGCGCAAGAUUAGAUAGUUGGGGAGGUAACGGCUCACCAAGUCAAUGAUCUUUAGGGGUCCUGAGAGGGAGAUCCCCCACACUGGUACUGAGACACUGACCAGACUCCUACGGGAGGCAGCAGUGAGGAAUAUUGGACAAUGGGUGAAAGCCUGAUCCAGCCAUCCCGCGUGAAGGGUGACGGUCCUAUGGAUUGUAAACUUCUUUUGUACAGGAAUAAACCUACUCUCGUGAGAGUAGCUGAAGGUACUGUACGAAUAAGCACCGGCUAACUCCGUGCCAGCCGCCGCCGUAA
rnacentral:rRNA from 1 species